rnacentral:ncRNA from 2 species
UACUUAAAUACUGAAACAGGUAUGUCGUGGAUAACACGAUUGGGAAGGGGGUGUAAAUCCCCCGCAGCCCCCGCUGCUGUGAUGCUGACGAACCCGCUGAGACCACUGAUCCAUAGGAUUGGGAAGGUAGCGGGGGAGAGUGACGCUAAGCCAGAAGACCAGCCAAAUCAGUAAAGAGUUU